GAUGCACGCUGGCGGCGUGCAUAAUACAUGAAAGUCGAGCGAAGCGGGUACGGGUGAGUAACACGUGGAUAACCUCCUAUAAGACUGGGAUAACUUCGGGAAACCGGAGCAAAAACGGAUACUUAUAGAUGGAUCCGCGCUGCAUUAGGUAGUUGGUAAGGUAACGGCUUACCAAGGCAAAGGGGCAUAGCCGACCUGCGAGGGUGAUCGGCAACACUGUAAAGUGGCCGCGCUCCAUGCUCCGACGGGUGUCAUCAGUAGUGAAUCUGCCGCAAUGGUCGAUAGCCGUACGGAGCAACUCCGCGGUAGUGAUGAAGGUCUUCUGAUCUUAAAACUCUGUUAUUAGGGAAGCGGUACCUAAUCAGAAAGCCACGGCUAACUACGUGCCAGCAUCCGCGGUAAUUC
rnacentral:rRNA from 1 species